GGAGGAAUAUUGGGCAAUGGGGGAAACCCUGACCCAGCAACGCCGCGUGAAGGAAGAAGGCCUUCGGGUUGUAAACUUCUGUGACAGGGGACGAAAGAAAUGACGGUACCCUGAGAGGAAGCCACGGCAAACUACGUGCCAGCAGCCGCGGUAAUACGUAGGUGGCGAGCGUUGUCCGGAAUCACUGGGCGUAAAGGGCGCGUAGGCGGUUUUACAAGUCACAUGUGAAAUACCAGGGCUUAACUUUGGGGGUGCAUGUGAAACUGUAGGACUUGAGUGCAGUAGAGGUAAGCGGAAUUCCUGGUGUAGCGGUAAAAUGCGUAGAGAUCAGGAGGAACACCGGUGGCGAAGGCGGCUUACUGGGCUGCAACUGACGCUGAGGCGCGAAAGCGUGGGGAGCAAACAGG
rnacentral:rRNA from 2 species